rnacentral:rRNA from 1 species
AUGCCGUGGUUACUAAUUGGGGACAGGAAUGAAAUUCACUUCUUGUCUGAAAAGGAAGGAGGAAACCCUAGACCGCCGCAGUACAUGCAGGCCUUCCAGUCGGCGAUUGAUGACUUUGAUUUACGGGACCUGGGCUAUAUAGGAGAUCGGUUUAUGUGGCAGAGGGGUGGAAUCAGGGAGAGGUUGGAAAGAGGGUUAAUCAACGUUGCUUGGGAAGCUUUGUACCCUUCGGCGGCAUUGCAAAACAUGCCAUACAAUCACUCGGACCACCGUCCAAUUUUGGUUGAUACAGAGUACUUAGCCCCAGCACACGAUGGUGGAGAACGUACAAAGCGCUUUGAAGCAAGAUGGCUAAGGGAAAGAGAUUUCCCGGAGAUAGUACAAGAGGCUUGGCAUGCUGCAAAUCUCAAUCCGAAUCUCACAACCAUCCAGGAGAAACUAAACAGCAUGCAUGAAUCGUUUCAUGACUGGGAUCAAAGGGUGCCGAAAAAACCAAAGAAGAGACUUCGUAAAGCACAACGAGAGCUCGAGGAAGUUAUGACUGGUCCAAUGGAUGAAGCCAGUAAGGAGAAAACGAAGGAGAUCUCAGAGCUCAUCGAAUUUUUGCUUGAGUUAGAAGAAAUCCAUUACAUGCAGCGAUCAAGAGCGGGAUGGCUGAAACAUGGAGACCGCAACACGGGGUUUUUUCAAGCUGAUGCAAGUGCCAGGUGA